rnacentral:rRNA from 1 species
UACGUAGGUGACCAGCGUUGUCCGGAUUUACUGGGCGUAAAGAGCGCGCAGGCGGUCGUUUAAGUCGAGUGUGAAAGCCCCCGGCUCAACUGGGGAGGGUCAUUCGAUACUGAUCGACUGGAAGGCAGGAGAGGGAAGCGGAAUUCCCGGUGUAGUGGUGAAAUGCGUAGAUAUCGGGAGGAACACCAGUGGCGAAGGCGGCUUCCUGGCCUGUUCUUGACGCUGAGGCGCGAAAGCUAGGGGAGCAAACGGG